rnacentral:rRNA from 1 species
AUUGAACGCUGGCGGCAGGCCUAACACAUGCAAGUCGAACGAGUGGCGGACGGGUGAGUAAUAUAUCGGAACGUGCCCAGUAGCGGGGGAUAACUACUCGAAAGCGUGGCUAAUACCGCAGACUAUUGGGACGGCCGCUAUUGGAUUAGCUAGUGGGUGGGGUAAAGGCUUACCAAGGGAACGAUCCGUAGCUGGUUUGAGAGGACGACGUGCCCGACUGGGAAGGAGACACGGCCCAGAUGCCUACGGGAGGCAGCAGUGGGGAAUUUGGGACAAUGGGGGAAACCCUGAUCCAGACAUCCCGCGUGUAUGAGAAGGCCUGCGGGGUGUAAAGUAAUUUUGGCAGAGAAGCGGUAUCUGCAGAAUAAGCCCCGGCUAACUACGUGCCAGCCGCCGCGGUAAUUC